CCAAUAGCGUAUAUUAAAGUUGUUGCAGUUAAAAAGCUCGUAGUUGAACUUCGGGGUUCACCCAUUGGUCAGGCUUAAUUGUCUGUACUGGUGAGAUGAGUCUCUACCUUCUGAGGAACUUUCAUGUCAUUUAUUUGGUGUGAUUGGAAAUCAGGACUGUUACUUUGAAAAAAUUAGAGUGUUUAAAGCAGGCUAACGUCUGAAUACAUUAGCAUGGAAUAAUGAAAUAGGACGGACUGAUUCUAUUUCGUUGGUUUCUAGGAUCACCGUAAUGAUUAAUAGGGAUAGUUGGGGGCAUUAGUAUUCAAUUGUCAGAGGUGAAAUUCUUGGAUUUAUUGAAGACUAACUACUGCGAAAGCAUUUGCCAAGGAUGUUUUCAUUAAUCAAGAACGAAAGUUAGGGGAUCGAAGACGAUCAGAUACCGUCGUAGUCUUAACCAUAAACUAUGCCGACUAGGGAUCGGACGAAGUUAAUUUUAUAAUGACGCGUUCGGCACCUUACG
rnacentral:rRNA from 1 species